UACAUCUGAAAAUUCUUUGAUCCUACACAUUGAUCUUCAAAUGCAGCCUACACAAUAAGCAACAACAUGUUCUUCAAACCGUUCUUCUUCAAAUGCAGCCUACACAAUAAAGUCUAAUAAACCAAUAUAAAAUAUCUAAAUAUAAGCAGUAACCAAUAUGACAAAUGUCAAAACCAAUAACAAUGGACAAUUCAAAUUCAAAAAGAAAUUACCUUUGAUGAGAAACAGAAAACUAAAGACCAAAAAAAUUUGAGAAAAAGCAUGAAAGGAUGGCAGAGAAGAUCAAAGUUGCAAACUUUGAAAAAAAAAAAAC
rnacentral:lncRNA from 1 species